rnacentral:rRNA from 1 species
GUAGGGAAUAUUGGACAAUGGGCGAAAGCCUGAUCCAGCAAUGCCGCGUGAGUGAUGAAGGCCUUAGGGUUGUAAAGCUCUUUUACCAGGGAUGAUAAUGACAGUACCUGGAGAAUAAGCUCCGGCUAACUCCGUGCCAGCAGCCGCGGUAAUAAGGAGGGAGCUAGCGUCGUUCGGAAUUACUGGGCGUAAAGCGCGCGUAGGCGGCGAUUUAAGUCAGAGGUGAAAGCCCGGGGCUCAACCCCGGAAUAGCCUUUGAGACUGGAUUGCUAGAAUCCUGGAGAGGUGAGUGGAAUUCCGAGUGUAGAGGUGAAAUUCGUAGAUAUUCGGAAGAACACCAGUGGCGAAGGCGGCUCACUGGACAGGUAUUGACGCUGAGGUGCGAAAGCGUGGGGAGCAAACAGGAUUAGAUACCCGAGUAGUCC